CUAGAGAAAAGCAAGACAUAUAUGAAGAUGUUACAGAUUUUAGUUCAUUUAGGAAGUCAAAAUCAACCUCCUUACAACAUGUUGUGAUAUCAGAAAGUAGUGGACAAGAUGACCUGUAUGAUGAUGCUGAAUUGAUUGUAGAGAAAUUUAAACCACCUGUUCAAAAACCAAGCAGUCCAGUGGAGCAGAAUGUUUUAAUUACUAACUGGAGGAAUGACACAAACCUGAAAAAAAAACAAAAACAGGAGCAAGAAUUUAGAA